GACGAACGCUGGCGGCGUGCUCAACACAUGCAAGUCGAACGGAAAGGCCCUGCUUUUGUGGGGUGCUCGAGUGGCGAACGGGUGAGUAACACGUGAGUAACCUGCCCUUGACUUUGGGAUAACUUCAGGAAACUGGGGCUAAUACCGGAUAGGAGCUCCUGCUGCAUGGUGGGGGUUGGAAAGUUUCGGCGGUUGGGGAUGGACUCGCGGCUUAUCAGCUUGUUGGUGGGGUAGUGGCUUACCAAGGCUUUGACGGGUAGCCGGCCUGAGAGGGUGACCGGCCACAUUGGGACUGAGAUACGGCCCAGACUCCUACGGGAGGCAGCAGUGGGGAAUAUUGCACAAUGGGCGGAAGCCUGAUGCAGCAACGCCGCGUGCGGGAUGAUGGCCUUCGGGUUGUAAACCGCUUUCGCCUGUGACGAAGCGUGAGUGACGGUAAUGGGUAAAGAAGCACCGGCUAACUACGU
rnacentral:rRNA from 1 species